rnacentral:rRNA from 1 species
AUGCAAGUCGAACGGUGACGAUGGAGCUUGCUCUGUCUGAUCAGUGGCGAACGGGUGAGUAACACGUGAGUAACCUGCCCCCGACUCUGGAAUAACCGUGGGAAACGACGGCUAAUACCGGAUAUGAGACGCACAGGCAUCUGUGGGUCUGGAAAGAUUUAUCGGUCAGGGAUGGACUCGCGGCCUAUCAGCUUGUUGGUGGGGUAAUGGCCUACCAAGGCGACGACGGGUAGCCGGCCUGAGAGGGCGACCGGCCACACUGGGACUGAGAUACGGCCCAGACUCCUACGGGAGGCAGCAGUGGGGAAUAUUGCACAAUGGGCGCAAGCCUGAUGCAGCGACGCCGCGUGAGGGAUGAAGGCCUUCGGGUUGUAAACCUCUUUCAGCAGGGAAGAAGCGAAAGUGACGGUACCUGCAGAAGAAGCGCCGGCUAACUACGUGCCAGCAGCCGCGGUAAUACGUAGGGCGCAAGCGUUGUCCGGAAUUAUUGGGCGUAAAGAGCUCGUAGGCGGUUUGUCGCGUCUGCUGUGAAAACCUGAGGCUCAACCUCGGGCUUGCAGUGGGUACGGGCAGACUAGAGUGCGGUAGGGGUGACUGGAAUUCCUGGUGUAGCGGUGGAAUGCGCAGAUAUCAGGAGGAACACCGAUGGCGAAGGCAGGUCACUGGGCCGCAACUGACGCUGAGGAGCGAAAGCAUGGGGAGCGAACAGGAUUAGAUACCCUGGUAGUCCAUGCCGUAAACGUUGGGCACUAGGUGUGGGGCUCAUUCCACGAGUUCCGUGCCGCAGCAAACGCAUUAAGUGCCCCGCCUGGGGAGUACGGCCGCAAGGCUAAAACUCAAAGAAAUUGACGGGGGCCCGCACAAGCGGCGGAGCAUGCGGAUUA